rnacentral:lncRNA from 1 species
CCCAGGGUUCUCCUCCUCAGUGCCCGGGGUCCUCCUCCUGGUCACCUCCACAUGCCCGUCACCUCCGCGCAGCGUUGGUCUUCCCGCCGCGGCUGUGGGACGUGGAGGGGCGCCCGGGAGGGAAGACUCAGGGCCCAGCAUCUGCUCGGGAGCCCCGGGGCCCCUGACCCCCUCUGCAGUUAUUAAGGGCGCCGGUUCCCGAGGCACCGAGAUGAUCAUGAUUGCAUCAGCCAGACAGAAGCGAAGCCGGGAGCUGCGCGACUUAUGACCUUUGCAGCGUGCGGCAGUAUCAUCCAUCACCCAGGCGCCGCUUACGGGGAUGAAGGGCGCUGGGAGCUCACACAGGGUCGCUGUCACGCCUACCGCGCUCUCUGGGGACCUCCUCUCUGGCCUGCAGGCCAGGGCUUAACAGUCUUGCAGCAGAUGGUGCCCGGGCUCCCGCUGCCAACCUUGCUAGGCGGUGCCAACCUCAGUCCUGGCAGACAACGGGCAGACGAGAAGAGGAUCUCCUGGCUGGCCAAGCCGGCCCUCCCCCACCCGGCAUCGAGCUCAAGACCCCCCCCACACGCUUGCCCCACUCCAGCGACCACUUCAGCCUCCCUCUCACUGGGUCCGCUCCCAGGUCCCCAAACUCCUCGUCUCCUUCUGCUCCCUUCCCCACACCUUCCCGCUCCUCGCCACCUGCCGCCCUGACCAGGGCCGGCGUAUUUGCAUAUUUACAUAUGCAAAUAAUAACAUUUGCAUACAGCGCUCCGCAGGGGUGUCUCCGCGAGAGCCGGUUAGCUGUCUGCCCUGCGUCCUCACUCGGUACCUGUCGGAAAGGGUUAGGGCAGGGGCCGCGCGGGAGGGGUUAGGCCCCCGGCCUAGCUAGCUCGGUUCCCGGAGGACUUGAGGAAGUGUUGCCAUGGAGACGGCACGCACCCCACCCCCUCCCAGGCCCAGGGUCUCGGGCUUGGUGUCUCUGGUUCUCUCCCCUUACCCACCCUCUACCCCCUCCCCAUCCCUCGCUCUCCAACCGAGAUCUUGCAUCGCCCCCUGGCGGCCCAGCUCGGCGGCAAGCCAGAUUCCGAAAUACAAGGGGCUGCCUGCGGCUAAAUAGCCAAGAGCAAGGGGGACCUACCCUACUACAAGAUCCGGCUCCCAGCCGCUGGGGCGCGUGGGCGGCAACUGCAGCUCCGCGCUCCCCUUUCUUCACUGACCACAGAGGCCUCACCUGGCGGGCGCACUUGUCUUCCCACCUCCCGCCAACCUCAGCCCAGAUGGGUCUCAGGCUACCCGAUGGUAACGAGGUGGGGCAGUUAGGGAGGAUUCUCCACCCCUCCGCAGGCCGUCUCCUCAACCCCAGUUAAAGAACAACUUUUCGGCCGGGCGCGGUGACUCAAGCCUGUAAUCCCAGCACUUUGGGAGGCCGAGACGGGCGGAUCAUGAGGUCAGGAGAUCGAGACCAUCCUGGCUAAUACGGUGAAACCCCAUCUCUACUAAAAAAUACAAAAAACUAGCCGGGCGACGAGGCGGGCGCCUGUAGUCCCAGCUACUCGGGAGGCUGAGACAGGAGAAUGGCGUGAACCCGGGAGGCGGAGCUUGCAGUGAGCUGAGAGCCGGC